rnacentral:rRNA from 1 species
UACGUAGGGUGCAAGCGUUGUCCGGAAUUAUUGGGCGUAAAGAGCUCGUAGGCGGUCUGUCGCGUCGGCUGUGAAAACCCGGGGCUCAACCCCGGGCCUGCAGUCGAUACGGGCAGACUAGAGUGCGGUAGGGGAGACUGGAAUUCCUGGUGUAGCGGUGAAAUGCGCAGAUAUCAGGAGGAACACCGGUGGCGAAGGCGGUUCUCUGGGCCUGACCUGACGCUGAGGAGCGAAAGCGUGGGGAGCGAACAGG